AGAGUUUGAUCAUGGCUCAGAUUGAACGCUGGCGGCAUGUUUUACACAUGCAAGUCGAACGGCAGCACAGGGAGCUUGCUCCGGGUGGCGAGUGGCGCACGGGUGAGUAAUACAUCGGAACGUGUCCUGUUGUGGGGGGAUAACUGCUCGAAAGGGUGGCUAAUACCGCAUGAGACCUGAGGGUGAAAGCGGGGGAUCGUAAGACCUCGCGCAAUUGGAGCGGCCGAUGCCCGAUUAGCUAGUUGGUGAGGUAAAGGCUCACCAAGGCGACGAUCGGUAGCUGGUCUGAGAGGACGACCAGCCACACGUGGGACUGAGACACCGGCCCAGACUCCUACGGGAGGCAGCA
rnacentral:rRNA from 1 species